UUGUAGACUGGUAUAAGUACUCCAUAUCCAUGCUUCUAGAUUACACAGAUCCAUAAUAGAAUCGAAGAUAUUUAUGGUCAAACAAGGGUUGACCGACUGCCCGAAUGAAGAUUCUGGAAAACCCAGAAUCUUCAAGAACAUGUUUUCUGUCAAAGUUUGACUUGCCUUGAUCUCUUAAAUGUUUUGAUGUUAGACUGAUU
rnacentral:lncRNA from 1 species